rnacentral:sRNA from 1 species
AAAAGUCGCAAUAACAGCUACUAAACAUAUUAGGGACCGCUACGACAAAAGGUCAAUCGCUUGAAGUUGAUCAACUUGAUCUAUGGGUCUGAGACAGGGUGAGAGCUGACAGGAGAAUGGGUCGUAGAACAUGCAGACGAUUCCAGUGGGGAUUCUCAAGUAUCUUAUCAACAAGCAGGGGUGGAUCCAGAAAAUUUUUCCUCCCUGGGAGAGGGUUCGAGGAAGGAUUAUGUUUGUAAGGGGAUCCAAGGUCUGAUUUUGGUAAUGUUCCAAUUAAUGUAAAUUUUGAAAAUCGGAAUAAUCCGGGGGGGGGGGGGGUGGACUUAUCACAAAUCACCCUUUUUUAUCUUGAUCAGUGCAUGACAACGUUUUGAAAUUAUUUAAAAUUAGUUUGAUUUACUUAAAAACCGUGUCUUCUACCGUCUCUUAUUUCUUACCAAAGUUCAUAUACAGUAUAGACUGUUACAAAAAUAGAAACCUUUUUCAGCUCUCAAUACUUAGUAAUUGGUCUACUGUCCUUAAAGCACUUGCGAUAUGUAUCAAAAUUUUAGUUUAAGACACUACUUCAAAUAUUUGAGUAAAAUUUUAAUCAUC